GUGGGGAAUUUUGGACAAUGGGCGCAAGCCUGAUCCAGCGACGCCGCGUGGAGGACGAAGGCCUUCGGGUUGUAAACUCCUUUUGGAGGGGAAGAAUAAAUUGACGGUACCCUCAGAAAAAGCCACGGCUAACUACGUGCCAGCAGCCGCGGUAAUACGUAGGUGGCGAGCGUUACUCGGAAUUACUAGGCGUAAAGCGUAUGUAGGUGGUUAGAUAAGUCUAUGGUGAAAUUUCCUGGCUUAACUGGGAAGGGACAUAGAUACUAUCUGGCUUGAGUGUGGGAGGGGGAGACGGAAUUCCUGGUGUAGCGGUGAAAUGCGUAGAUAUCAGGAGGAACACCGAUGGCGAAAGCAGUCUCCUGGCCCAAUACUGACACUGAGGUACGAAAGCGUGGGGAGCAAACAGGAUUAGAAACCCCUGUAGUCC
rnacentral:rRNA from 1 species